rnacentral:rRNA from 1 species
UCCGGAGGGGGCUAACGUUGUUCGGAAUUACUGGGCGUAAAGCGGGUGUAGGCGGAUUGCUAAGUCGGGGGUGAAAGCCCAGGGCUCAACCCUGGAAUUGCCUUCGAUACUGGCAGUCUCGAGUGCAGGAGAGGUGAGCGGAAUUCCGAGUGUAGAGGUGAAAUUCGUAGAUAUUCGGAGGAACACCAGAGGCGAAGGCGGCUCACUGGACUGUUACUGACGCUGAGACCCGAAAGCGUGGGGAGAAAACAGG